CCUACGGGAGGCAGCAGUGAGGAAUAUUGGUCAAUGGACGGAAGUCUGAACCAGCCAUGCCGCGUGCAGGAUGACGGCUCUAUGAGUUGUAAACUGCUUUUGUACGAGAAUAAUAGUUCUUAAGGGUAGGGAUUUGGAUGGAUCGUACGAAUAAGGGUCGGCUAACUCCGUGCCAGCAGCCGCGGUAAUACGGAGGAUUCGAGGUUUAUUCGGAUUUGUUGGGUUUAAAGGGUGCGUAGGCUGUCGGAUAAGGUAGAGGUCAAAUGACGGGGCUUAACCCCGUGCCUGCCUCUGAUACUGUUCGACUAGAGAGCGGAUGCAGCAGGCGGAAUGAGUAGUGUAGCGGUGAAAUGCUUAGAUAUUGCUCAGAACACCGAUUGCGCAGGCAGCUUGCUAAUCCGCAUCUGACGCUGAUGCACGAAAGCGUGGGUAGCGAACAGGAUUAGAUACCCGUGUAGUC
rnacentral:rRNA from 1 species